rnacentral:rRNA from 1 species
GACGUAGGGCGCGAGCGUUGUCCGGAUUUAUUGGGCGUAAAGAGCUCGUAGGCGGUUUGUCGCGUCUGCCGUGAAAGUCCGGGGCUCAACUCCGGAUCUGCGGUGGGUACGGGCAGACUAGAGUGAUGUAGGGGAGACUGGAAUUCCUGGUGUAGCGGUGAAAUGCGCAGAUAUCGGGAGGAACACCGGUGGCGAAGGCGGCGACCUGGGUAGAUACUGACGCUGAGGUGCGAAAGCGUGGGGAGCAAACAGG